AACACAUGCAAGUCGAGCGGAUGAGAAGAGCUUGCUCUUCGAUUCAGCGGCGGACGGGUGAGUAAUGCCUAGGAAUCUGCCUGGUAGUGGGGGACAACGUUUCGAAAGGAACGCUAAUACCGCAUACGUCCUACGGGAGAAAGCAGGGGACCUUCGGGCCUUGCGCUAUCAGAUGAGCCUAGGUCGGAUUAGCUAGUUGGUGAGGUAAUGGCUCACCAAGGCGACGAUCCGUAACUGGUCUGAGAGGAUGAUCAGUCACACUGGAACUGAGACACGGUCCAGACUCCUACGGGAGGCAGCAGUGGGGAAUAUUGGACAAUGGGCGAAAGCCUGAUCCAGCCAUGCCGCGUGUGUGAAGAAGGUCUUCGGAUUGUAAAGCACUUUAAGGUGGGAGGAAGGGCAGUAANCUAAUACCUUGCUGUUUUGACGUUACCGCCAGAAUAAGCACCGGCUAACUCUGUGCCAGCAGCCGCGGUAAUACAGAGGGUGCAAGCGUUAUUCGGAAUUACUGGGCGUAAAGCGCGCGUAAGUGGUCUG
rnacentral:rRNA from 1 species